UGAUGACGAGACGCUAAGGCGUUGAAGCAGUGUAUGUCAGACUUCCAAGAAAAGCUCGCAAUGUCACAAAUAAAGAAUGCCUGUACCAUAACCGACACAGGUGGGUAGGUAGAGUAUACUAAGGGGCGCGAGAUAACUCUCUCUAAGGAACUCGGCAAAAUGACUCCGUAACUUCGGGAGAAGGAGUGCCUUAUUUAUAAGGUUGCAAUAACAAGAUCCAAGCAACUGUUUAUCAAAAACACAGGUCUCCGCUAAGUCGUAAGACGAUGUAUGGGGGCUGACGCCUGCCCAGUGCCAGAAGGUUAAAGAAGUUGGUUAGUGUAUGCGAAGCUGAUGACUGAAGCCCUGGUGAACGGCGGCCGUAACUAUAACGGUCCUAAGGUAGCGAAAUUCCUUGUCGGGUAAGUUCCGACCCGCACGAAAGGCGUAAUGAUUUGGAUACUGUCUCGGAGAGAGGCUCGGUGAAAUAGACUUGUCUGUGAAGAUGCGGACUACCUGCACCAGGACAGAAAGACCCUAUGAAGCUUUACUGUAACUUGAAAUUGGAAUUGGACUUUGCUUGCGCAGUAUAGGUGGGAAGCGUUGAAAAUAUUCUUGCGGGAGUAUUGGAGCUAUCAGUGAGAUACCACUCUUGUAAUGUUAGAUUUCUAACUUUGAACCAUAAUCUGGUCAAAGAACAGUUUCAGGUGGGCAGUUUGACUGGGGCGGUCGCCUCCCAAAUGGUAACGGAGGCGUACAAAGGUUUCCUCUGAACGGAUAGAAAUCGUAUCUAGAGUGUAAAGGCAUAAGGAAGCUUGACUGUGAGACCUACAAGUCGAGCGGGGACGAAAGUCGGUCUUAGUGAUCUGACGGUACUGAGUAGAAAGGCCGUCACUCAACGGAUAAAAGUUACUCUAGGAUAACAGGCUGAUCUCCCCCAAGAGUUCACAUCGACGGGGAGGUUUGGCACCUCGAUGUCGGCUCAUCGCAUCCUGGGGCGGUAGUACGUCCCAAGGGUUGGGCUGUUCGCCCAUGAAAGCGGUACGCGAGCUGGGUUCAGAACGUCGUGAGACAGUUCGGUCCAUAUCCGGUGUAGGCGCUAGAAUAUUGAGAGGAGCCUUCUUUAGUACGAGAGGACCGAGAAGGACACACCGCUGGUGUACCAGUUAUCGUGCCAACGGUAAACGCUGGGUAGCUAUGUGUGGAGUGGAUAACCGCUGAAAGCAUCUAAGUGGGAAGCCCACCUCGAGAUGAG
rnacentral:rRNA from 1 species